GAAUGGUUGUUUAUUAUUAGCAACGGCAGAUGGCUCAGCAGUUGAAAUUGCUGAAGAAAUAGGGGCAGAAAACAUGUUUCUUUUUGGAGCAAAGGUGGAUGAGGUUCCAGCAUUGAGAGAAAAAGGAACCACUCUCAAAGGUUCACUUCAAUUUGCACGAGUUGUGAGGAUGGUGCGGGAUGGUUACUUUGGCCUCAAAGAUUACUUCAAGUCGUUAUGCGACACUGUAGAGGAUGGUGGAGACUUUUAUCUCCUGGGAUAUGAUUUUGCUAGCUAUUUAGAGGCACAGGCUGCUGCGGAUAGAGCAUUUGUUGAUCAAGAAAAGUGGACCCAAAUGAGCAUACUGUCUACUGCAGGUUCUGGAAAAUUCAGCAGCGAUAGAACCAUAGAAGAAUACGCACAGCAGAGUUGGGGCAUCGAACCCUGCAAAUGCCCCUUCUGAUUUGCAAAACAUCGCCUUUCAUGCAGAACUAACAUGGCUUUACUAACCGUGCAUCCUAAUCUGGGAAUUGAAGAACCAAUG
rnacentral:misc_RNA from 1 species